rnacentral:lncRNA from 1 species
GCAGAGAGAGUAUGUGAGCGAGAGCAUUAAAGAAACUGUCAAAAAACUUCUUAAAGAAGAGCGGAAUAAGGGGCUAGCUUUGGCAGCAAAACUUGUAGCGGAAGAGCGAGAUUUUUGGGUGCAGAAGAUUAUGCAAAUAGAGGCAAAAAUUGAUGGAAAGUGUACGGGCCCCAGGUGAAACAAUUCCCCCAGGUCGCUUGACUCCCUCCACCCUUAACAGUGCACAUGUUUCAGACAAAGCUAG